rnacentral:rRNA from 1 species
GAUGAACGCUAGCGGCAGGCCUAAUACAUGCAAGUCGAGGGGUAGAAGAGGCUUGCUUCUUUGAGACCGGCGCACGGGUGCGUAACGCGUAUGCAACCUACCUUCAUCUGGGGGAUAGCCCGGAGAAAUCCGGAUUAAUACCGCAUAAAAUCACAGGAUGGCAUUAUCCAAUGAUCAAACAUUUAUGGGAUGGAGAUGGGCAUGCGUGUCAUUAGCUAGUUGGUGGGGUAACGGCCCACCAAGGCGACGAUGACUAGGGGAUCUGAGAGGAUGGCCCCCCACACUGGUACUGAGACACGGACCAGACUCCUACGGGGGGCAGCAGUAAGGAAUAGUGGUCAAUGGAGGCAACUCUGAACCAGCCAUGCCGCGUGCAGGAAGACUGCCCUAUGGGUUGUAAACUGCUUUUAUUCGGGAAUAAACCUUAUUACGUGUAAUAAGCUGAAUGUACCAAAGGAAUAAGGAUCGGCUAACUCCGUGCCAGCCGCCGCAGUAA